GAUGAAGAACGUAGCGAAAUGCGAUACGUAGUGUGAAUUGCAGAAUUCAGUGAAUCAUCGAAUCUUUGAACGCACAUUGCACCUCUCGGUAUUCUGGGAGGUAUGCCUGUUCGAGCGUCAUUUGUACCCUCAAGCUCUGCUUGGUGUUGGGUGUUUGUUCCGCCUCUGUGUGUGAACUCGCCUCAAAACAAUUGGCAGCCGGCGUACUUGUUUCGGAGCGCAGCACAUUUUGCGAUCCAGAUCAACGUACAGCGGCAUCCAAGAAGCCUUAUUUAACGCUCUUGACCUCGGAUCAGGUAGGGAUACCCGCUGAACUUAAGCAUAUCAAUAAGCGGAGGA
rnacentral:misc_RNA from 1 species